CCCCCCCCUCCCCCCUCCCCCCCCCUCCCCUCUCCCUUGCUUCAGCCGAUCAGUUUUCUACUGGCUUUGUUUCCUUUUCACAACUAAUAAAAAGUAUCUCAGCCUAAAAGCUAACCAGCCACCCCAGGUCCGCAUCAGUGCAGGGAUGCUUCUGGUUUCUCGAUCGGUGUACACCAGAAACCCCAUUUCUCUCCAUCAUCGUAGAAGUUGUGAUUCUUCCUCUUCAAUCUCUAUAUCGUGUUCUGUUCUUUUUAUUUCUGCCGUUAAUUUCUCCAUCAUAUGUCAAAAAAUUCUAUUUUGGUUUCAAAUUUGUCUUUGGCGACUGUUGUAUCCUCUUCCGGCUUUCUCUAUUAAGGGAAUUAAGUAUCCCCAAUAGGCUUUUUCAGCAAUCACAUAUAAGGAUAUAGUGAAAGCAUCUCGAGUAUUAUGAUGUUCGUGGUGUUAGUUCUUCAGCAUCUGGAAGGUUAGUUCUUCAGCAUUGGGAAGGAUUUGGCACCAAACAUAUUCACGAGAUUGAAAAUUCACCAGAAAAUAAGGGAGGUUAGCUUUUAACUCUUGUUGCCUGUUGCUCUGUUUCUCUUUUUUCCGGUUAGUAAUUUGUUAAAGCAGAGGGAGGUGGAGGAGUCUAAACAAAUGGUUGCUGCCUAAAUUUCUGCUACCAACUUUCACAAAUUGUAACACAUCAAAGUUGUUACUAUGAUUAUUUGCUUGUGCUUUAUGUGCAUAACUUAAGUAUUUAUUGACGCGAGCCAACAUGAAGAAAUGUAGUAUACAACCCAUCUAUGUUAUAGUUAAUAUUUGAUAUGUUAACUGAGGACUUAAUACCAACUCUAGCCUUCCAUAUUACUGUUAUUUGUAAUAGUUGAUGGCAACUAAAAGCAAUUUGACAUGUUCAACGUGUUUUGAGAACUACGAUCCGUAGUUGUGUUAUUGAAGUUGCUGUUUGAAGAAAGUUUAAUGUGAUGUUUAUUAUAAAUCAAGCAACAUUUAGUAUCCCACAAGCAGCAGCUAACCGUGCAAAUCAAAUGACGAUAGGAUUUCUAACAUUCGGAAUAUUACUCCUUUAUCACUUAACUAUUGAAGAUUAGAGUUGAAGAAUGAAAGGUGAUAUUUGUCGCACUUCCAUAUUUUACUUUUCAGUUGUAUGCUUCAAUUUGGAUAUGUACUUAUAAAAGAAAUUGAUUACGUGUCUUCUAAUCUGAGUCGUAGCCUUUGCACAUCUAAUGUAUCUUCUAGAUUUUUCAGCAGUGCAGAGCAUUCUGGCUCUUACUUCUUGCUUAAAAUGUCAAAUUCAUCUUUUGCUACUGCUUCUCUUCUAUUUAUGUUGAUAAAACUUCGGAAAUUAGUCUUUAAUCUCAUAUUUCAUAGCUGUCUUCGAUCUCUAAUUUUGCAGCAGCUCCUCUCAACCCCUUCUUCUCUGAGGAACUUCUGAACAAGGUAAAGUAUGUAAAUAGAAUUUUCUUUAAAGAGAAUGAUUUGAGUCUAUUAAAGUAUUUUUUACUCCGAUUUUGUGCCAGAAGUAGUAGGGCUAUUUUUGAGUCUAUUAAAAUUAUUUUUCAUCUGUGCGAGUACUCAUUUGAGGUAAUUUCUUUGACCUUUUAUAUGAAGUUCGUAUUUGUUUGACGCCCGGCUGAUUUUUGAUUGAUUAUCUUUUAAUUUCUAAGGUCAACCAACUUAUGUGGAAUUACUGUUUUUUUGGGAGAUUUAUUAACUACUUUUGGUGUGCAAUACAACCGGGGCGGACCUACUAAGGGCCCAGGGAGUGCCACGCCACCCGCGAGCUUCGGCGAAAACGCUAUGUAUAUAUCCAUGUGAAAGUGUAUGAUUAAUUAAAUUGGCACCCUGACUAAUAAAUUAUGCGAGAGUGCCAGUGGACAAUAGCAGGAGUUGCCACCCAUGAGAUGAGGGUUCGAGCCCAACUCAAGACACGUUUAUUACUAUUUUCACUUGCUGCUCCAAUAUAUUUUACAUCUACAUAUAAACUUAAUCUUAAUGAAUGAGAUUGUCUAACUACCGAGUACGGGGUAUAAUUGAUGUCUUUUAGUAUAGAAAUUAUAUUAUCUCCCACAUUUUUAUUAGCCUACCUCUGUAAUUUUAAAGUUAUAUGAGGAUCACAUACCAAUUUUAUAUACUUCUCGAUUUGUGAAAAGUUCCUACGGGUUGGAAUUUAAAUUAAGAGUAAAAGAAAUUAAUGGUUUUAAAUGAAAUAAAAAUCGAUUCAUUUCAAAGAAGCUUAAGAUGGUAAGAGUCGGCCGCCCCAUUUGAACCAUAAUAUGGCAUAUUUUUGUUUUAUUUUUUAAUUUUCGUUAUAUUGCCAAAUAAAAGAAGUUAAGUAAUCAAAGGGUUGGGUGAGAGAAAAGAGAAGAUAAUUAUUUGAAAUUUUAAAUAGUUCCAUGUCAUUAAAAUAAAUUUAUAUAUGAAUGUAAAAGAUAUGAAAUGAAAGUAAUGCUAUUAAUAGUUGCAAAAUUUUGUGGAGCUUGGGAUUUUUCUUAUCAAUGUCAGUGAAUGUGCUUCUAAAAUUAUCAUUAACUAUGACCAAGAUGUUUAUUAAGUUAAUUUAAUCUAAAUCCUUAAAAUGCAAAACAAGAUAAGUAAUCAAUCAUCUAAGUAUACACUUGAAGAAAUUAAGAAAAUAUGUAAUCAAGAGAAACCAGAUAAGUAAGCUUUUUAUCUCUUUCCUUUUCUUUUAUUUUCCUUAGUUCCUCCUCUUAAUUUGCUUUUAGUUAUUAGUAUUAGUGACUAUCUUUAUUUAUUAAUCUUGACCUUUUUUUUUUGCCCUUAUUAGUAUGUGCUAAAAUAUAAAAAGUUAAAUAAUCAGAAGUUUCUUAAUCCAAAAAUCUUCUCUUUCCCAUCAAAACAACAUUUCAGUUAUGCCGGGUUGUAAUAACUAUUUUUUUUUCGUUCAAUCAAUUUGUUUAUAUAAACUUAAAAGGCGAAUAAUUUGAUUCGAAGCCUAAAGUCAAUCGAACCAAUCAAAAACUUACUUUAUUUGGAUUCAACGAAAUGUGGCACCCGGAAUCUUCAAAUCCUGGAUCCGCCUCUGAUCUUAUCUUCACCUAAAUUUCAUAAAUCUUCAACAAUUGAGAGUCAAAUGAAAUAUUGUACGGGUCAAAUCAUUCUGU